rnacentral:tRNA from 1 species
UAUUACUAGUUUGGGAAACAAAGUUGCCUUGAAAUCAACUCUUAAGAGUUCGACUCUCUUAGUAAUAU